GACGAACGCUGGCGGCGUGCUUAACACAUGCAAGUCGAACGGAAAGGCCCUGCUUUUGUGGGGUGCUCGAGUGGCGAACGGGUGAGUAACACGUGAGUAACCUGCCCUUGACUUUGGGAUAACUUCAGGAAACUGGGGCUAAUACCGGAUAGGAGCUCCUGCUGCAUGGGGGGGGUUGGAAAGUUUCGGCGGUUGGGGAUGGACUCGCGGCUUAUCAGCUUGUUGGUGGGGUAGUGGCUUACCAAGGCUUUGACGGGUAGCCGGCCUGAGAGGGUGACCGGCCACAUUGGGACUGAGAUACGGCCCAGACUCCUACGGGAGGCAGCAGUGGGGAAUAUUGCACAAUGGGCGGAAGCCUGAUGCAGCAACGCCGCGCGCGGGAUGACGGCCUUCGGGUUGUAAACCGCUUUCGCCUGUGACGAAGCGUGAGUGACGGUAAUGGGUAAAGAAGCACCGGCUAACUACGUG
rnacentral:rRNA from 1 species